GUACGUAGGGGGCAGCGUUAAUCGGAAUUACUGGGCGUAAAGCGUGCGCAGGCGGUUGAUGUAAUGAACAGAUGUGAAAUCCCGGGCUCAACCUGGGAACUGCAUUGUGACGUGCAUUGCUGGAGUGACGGCAGAGGGGGAUGGAAUUCCGGCGUGUAGCAGUGAAAUGCGUUAGAUAAUGCGGAGGAACACCGAUGGCGAAGGCAUCCCCGUGGGCCUGCACUGACGCUCAUGC
rnacentral:rRNA from 1 species